CUCUGGGCUUUAACUCGUCUUCCAAGCGGUGCCAGGUGUGCUCACGUUUGAAAACCACAGGUCUAAGGGAUGCAGAGAAAGAAGGGGCUCCGUCUUGAGGGAUGUAUGCUUCGUUUUCAGGACCUUCACCUCCUCCAGGUGAGGUCACUGCAGAAGAAUUGGGGCCCCAUGUGUCACCUGCAUUGUUCCAGGGGAUAUGGGGGUGUUGACAUCCCCAGGCUGGUCCCCAGACAUAGGUACUGCUCUUUCCUUCGCAGGACCCCACUCUCAUAGGGCAGGGCCGCCAUCACCCAGUGGUCUUAGCAUCUCCGCCUCCUUCUUACCAGCCCUGGUCCUGAUUCUCAGCACAGUCAGCCCCACAGCUGUAGAAGAUGGGUCUCCUUCCAGGUGGCGUGGAGACCUGGCUUACAGGGCGUGCUGAAAAUCGACAAUUAGCAACCUGAGCCUUUUUUGCAAAGCUCCUAACAUUGAAAGCAGCCAUCCCACGCAACCAUUCUUAGGAUUGUUGGUUUCCAUUUCAAUUAAAGACAGCAGCCAUGUGACCUCCCAUGGCCUUAUCCUUCCUCUGACCCCGGAAGUGAUUGCGGCUUCUCACAGGUGAGAGUGCUUGUCAUCGUUGAAGCCCACUGCUAGGGCAGUGUGGUCCUUACCCCACCUACCACCAGCCAUGCUGUCUCUGCCCCUUCAGACGGGUGGGCAGUCUCUAUCCUCUCCAUCCUGAAUCCUCUUCUUCUGGGGAUGUUUGCUUCCUCAUCCAAGAAAGCACUUCCCAUCCGUGCCCAGAAAGCUGAGCCGGAAGCAGAGCUUGUGGACGGAUGCUUUGUUGAGAGGAUUGAGCUCAAGGAAAUGGAGUCAAGGUUGAUGUCUUAGAGACCUGGUCACAGCACGACUAGCAAACCCAGCUGGUUGCUCAGGUGGACGGGCCAUGGCUGAGGAGGAAGCCUGAGAUCAGAGAAGUUCACAGCAGGAGAAAUGGAUGGAGACGGUGUUUUUUUUUUGCAUCUGGCGAGAGCUUCCCCACUUACCACCGUGGUGAGGACUCUAGGAAAUUCCCAAUAGGGAACAAUGCGUCUGCUUCAGAGUGUCAACGUGAAAAGCUGCCAUCAGCAAGGAGAAUCUUCCUAAAACAGGCACAAAUGAUGGCUUCAUGGUUAAAGUAAGAGUGGAUAAGAAGGGCCGAAGAAGCUGUCGAGGCUCUCUUGAAGACGUCCGAUGUGCCAACGGUACGUUGACAUCGAAAAUCCAUCCACCUGCGUCCUCCAUGAGUGGAGUCAUCUAAGAGAUCUCACCACCAUAAGGUACCUCCAUAUUUAUGCCCUUAAGAACGGGCACAGUCUAUGAAGGAGAGCUUUGCUUUGCAAAGGUAAUGUUUUGCUAGGUGCCGUCUUCACGAUGUCUUAAUGCAUCAGGUCAGCAGUAAUGAGACAGGAUGAUACGAGGGCAGCAUCUUAAUGAAUGACUGCAGCCUAAUCUGGUAUUUGCAGAAGUGCCUUUUUCUCAGGUGUGGAACCCGGGUUAACCCUCGCUCUUCCUGUCCCUCCACCACACUUUCCGACACUCAGGAAGCUCUCCAGUAGGAUACGUGGCAAUUAUGAGGAGCUGAUGGACACUUUAGAAGGCUUAGGGUGUGGGGCAUCUUUUCCAAGGAAAGAUUGAAAGCAAGACCGUUAAUGUCAGUAAACACUCUUCUUGCUGUGAGCACCUCAUUUUCUCCUCAAAAAUUGCCAACCAAUCUCUGUAAUAAAUGACAUUUAAUUUUCAGAUCCUCCACCAAUGCAUACCAGCCUACAUUAGCUUCAUCACAUCCUCCUCUGGAUCAUCCAUUAUUUUGGAGAAUCCAUAUUUGUGGAGGAACCUUCAGUGCCUUUCAGGAAGAGCAAGACGCCUGUUUGAAAAGGCAACAUGCGGAGUUCC